ACAAUGCAAUGCCUCAGUACGGCGAGUGAAGCGGCAAAGCUCAAAUUUGAAAUCCCCCGGGAAUUGUAAUUUGAAGAGAUUUGGGUCCGGCCGGCGGGGGUUAAGUCCACUGGAAAGUGGCGCCACAGAGGGUGACAGCCCCGUGAGCCCCUCUAAAGCCUUCACCCCAGAUCUCCAAGAGUCGAGUUGUUUGGGAAUGCAGCUCUAAGUGGGUGGUAAAUUCCAUCUAAAGCUAAAUACCGGCGAGAGACCGAUAGCGAACAAGUACAGUGAUGGAAAGAUGAAAAGCACUUUGAAAAGAGAGUGAAAAAGUACGUGAAAUUGUUGAAAGGGAAGGGCUUGCAAGCAGACACUUAACUGGGCCAGCAUCGGGGCGGCGGGGAGCAAAACCACCGGGGAAUGUACCUUUCGAGGAUUAUAACCCCGGCUCCUUACUCCCAUACCACCCCGAGGCCUGCAAUCUAAGGAUGCGGCGUACCGCCU
rnacentral:rRNA from 1 species